AAGGGUGAGUAACACGUGAGCAACCUGCCUUGAAGUGGGGGAUAGCUCGCCGAAAGGCGAAUUAAUACCGCAUGUGGUAGCAAUACUAAAGCCGGGGCAACCUGGCGCUUCUAGAGGGGCUCGCGGCCUAUCAGCUAGUUGGUAAGGUAACGGCUUACCAAGGCUAUGACGGGUAGCUGGUCUGAGAGGACGACCAGCCACACUGGAACUGAGACACGGUCCAGACACCUACGGGUGGCAGCAGUCGAGAAUUUUUCUCAAUGGGGGAAACCCUGAAGGAGCGACGCCGCGUGGAGGAUGAAGGUCUUCGGAUCGUAAACUCCUGUCAUUGGUGAACAAAGUCACAAGUUAACUGCUUUGUGAUCUGCUAGUAGCCGAAGAGGAAGGGACGGCUAACUCUGUGCCAGCAGCCGCGGUAAUACAGAGGUCCCAAGCGUUGUUCGGAUUCAUUGGCGUAAAGGGUGCGUAGGCGGUGGGGUAAGUUGGAUGUGAAAUCUUGGGGCUUAACCUCAAAAUUGCAUUCAAUACUGCUCCGCUCGAGUUCUGUAGAGGAGAUUGGAAUUUACGGUGUAGCAGU
rnacentral:rRNA from 1 species